rnacentral:rRNA from 1 species
UACAGAGGUGGCAAGCGUUGUUCGGAAUUACUGGGCGUAAAGGGCGCGUAGGCGGUUCGAUAAGUCCCGUGUGAAAUCCCUCGGCUCAACUGAGGAACUGCACGGGAAACUGACGGGCUUGAGUUCGGGAGAGGGAAGCGGAAUUCCGGGUGUAGCGGUGAAAUGCGUAGAUAUCCGGAGGAACACCGGUGGCGAAGGCGGCUUCCUGGACCGACACUGACGCUGAGGCGCGAAAGCCAGGGGAGCAAACGGG